GUGUGAUAAAUGUAAAAACAAAAUUCAUUCCAAGUUUAAAAAGGCAAAUGACCAUAAAAUUAUCACAAUUAAGGAAGUAGGACUUCAUGGACAUGAUUCAGGACCAAAGUUGGACGUCAGUGACAUUCCAUGUAAAGGCCAUCCCGGACAAGUCUGCUGUUUGUUCUGUAAAACAUGUAAUCACUUAGUUUGUCCAACUGGCGUGACCAAAGUCCAUAAACAGCAUGAGUUAGUAGAGAUUGAAGAAGCUUACAUGAUGAUGAAGGACCCACUGCUCAUUAGGAAAGAAAAGCUUGAAAAACGGAAAAAAGUUUGGACAAAGCAUAAAGAAACAUUAAGGAGGCUCGAGGGUAUAAAAAUUUCAGAAAAAAAAUAAACAUUUGUUUUUCAUUACAAAUUUUAUUUAUUACCUUUUGUAGUUGUUAAUUUAUCAUAUGGUACAAAAAACAUUAAAACAAUUAAUUCGUGUUGGCCCCCGAUGACUUUUAAAAUGUAAACAUCAUUGAAAAAGUUCCAAAUUAUCUCCCUUUGGUGGAAAAAUGCCAUUUUUUGGCUUUAAAAUUGAAAUAUCUCUUUUAACUCAUCGGUGACCUAUAUUUUUUAAUAUAAUUUCGAUAUAUGCUGUACUUAAACUAAAUUAUUGUAAAAUUUGAGCGAUUUCUGUAAUAAAUUUCUUUUGUCAUUUCGAUAUUACCUUUAUUUCUCCUAUUAGUUCAACAGAAAAAAACACUUUUACAAAGAUGUUUGCUUCUUUCGAAGGCAGAUUGUGAGCGCAAAUGAACGGUGACCCCAUUUUUUAAUUUUAUUUUUCUAUUAACUAUAAGAUAAAGUUCAUUUAUAUAAAAAUAUAGAGACAUCCUAUAUAAAUAAUUUAGACCCGCGAACCCCCUUAA
rnacentral:lncRNA from 1 species